CGUCACCACCUCUUGCCGCCGCUCACUCGGCCGUCCGGGCGGCCGUUGCUCAACCGCCACUGCCUCCGCUAGAACCGAGCUCUUGUCCCCUUGGCCGUGGGUUGAGCUGCGACCGCCGCCAUCUUCGCCGUGCCAUCCGUGCCGCUGUUAGUGCCAUGAGACUCGUGUCUUUGUUGCCGUCGCACUACGAAAGCUUUCCUUAGGUUCUGCAACUUACUGAACUCUCAUUUGCUUUACUUUCAUUGUAGUUAUUUGCCUUGCGAGUAAUCCAAGAUAGAGUCCCUGGUAUGAGAUUUGUGGACAAGGCUACUGAUGCAAUUAUUCUGCAAAUGUAGUGGUUAAAAAUGGAUAAACUUCUCCCUUUUUUCUUUGUUUAUUUGUCUGUCUGAACAGUCCGCUUAAUUUUAGAGUCAAAAAUUGAUAUAUCUUAAGUUGGUUCUGAUAUGAAAAGUUGACGUCCAAUUGGGCAGCUGUUUGGCUCUUGAACUUAACAGAAGUAGUACCUUGCUUGUCUACAGGUAGAGAGAGAUUCAAAGUCAUUGGUUGAACUCUUAAGACACAUAGCCUUGGUACUGAAAAUUUUAAAAUUAGGAUCAGCUGAGGCACAAUCUAAUUAUGUUUCCACAUGGUCCGAAAUGAUCUCUGCUUGUGCUCAAGAGCUAAAGCAUGGAGCCUCAAUAUUGAAGCAAGCUCUAGAGAAGAAUGUUUCCAGUCAAAUAUUAUCUGAAAAAGAAGGCAAUCUGUAUGUACUUGCCCUGGGAAAAUUUUACAGAGCAGUUGGAGUUCUUAGGGCCUCAGCCAUGUUAUACAAACCAUGGAUUCUUCUUAAUUAUAGAGAUUUCUCUGCCGCAUCUGCUCUUUUAGAUGAAUGUACUACUCUAUAGUCUAGUUCAAGCCUUGAAGAAGCUCUUCAAAACAUAUCUGAUCCGCUAGAGUUCCAAUAUGAGGACAGCGUCAAGGCUUUAUUGGAGUCUAUCAAGCAUGUUUACACUCUCAAUGCAGGUGUACUCUAGAAGGCUAUUUUUUUCUUGUGAAGAACCUGUUUGCCAUUUGUCUCUAUUGAAUCCAGGAACUGUGCCAGGUAUGAAGAUGAUUUUUUGGGACGAGGAGUAGUAUUUUCUCAAACUUGCUAAUCUAUGGGCAAAUUUGAUCAGCCAUCAUCCUCCUGAAUUGCCAUCUAUCAAGAUUCAUGGAUCAUGAAAGGGCAGGACUAAAUCUCUCUGUUGUGAGGUCACUUGUGCUUCGUGAAAAGAACGAUAACAUAUCCGAGUUUCCAGAUGAAGUGAAGCUCUAUUCUUUGGUUAGUUUGCUGUUUGAUGCAGGUAAAUCAAUAAUCAAAUUAUCAAAUUUACUAGUCCAUGAAAUAAUACUCAUCCAUUAUAAAAACUUUAUCAGUUCUUUUUUAAAAUUAUCCUAUGAUGAUCUUUCACUUCUGUUGUAA